AAGUCGUAACAAGGUUUUCGUAGGUGAACCUGCGGAAGGAUCAUUAGUGAAUUCUGGGAGUCCCUCUUCAUCAGAGAAGGCCCAAUCCACUAUUUCACACACCCUUGUGCAAUUGUCCCCUUUUUAAUAUAACCCUUGUGCAUUUGAAACAAGUUGAUUGUGUAACAAGUUGAUCAAAGAAAGAAAAACUUUCAGCAAUGGAUCUCUUGGCUCUC
rnacentral:misc_RNA from 1 species